ACGAGGCACUACGGUGCUGAAGCGACAAAUGCCCUGCUUCCAGGAAAAGCCUCUAAGCAUCAGGUAACAUCAAAUCGUACCCCAAACCGACACAGGUGGUCAGGUAGAGAAUACCAAGGCGCUUGAGAGAACUCGGGUGAAGGAACUAGGCAAAAUGGUGCCGUAACUUCGGGAGAAGGCACGCUGAUAUGUAGGUGAAGCGACUUGCUCGUGGAGCUGAAAUCAGUCGAAGAUACCAGCUGGCUGCAACUGUUUAUUAAAAACACAGCACUGUGCAAACACGAAAGUGGACGUAUACGGUGUGACGCCUGCCCGGUGCCGGAAGGUUAAUUGAUGGGGUCAGCGCAAGCGAAGCUCUUGAUCGAAGCCCCGGUAAACGGCGGCCGUAACUAUAACGGUCCUAAGGUAGCGAAAUUCCUUGUCGGGUAAGUUCCGACCUGCACGAAUGGCGUAAUGAUGGCCAGGCUGUCUCCACCCGAGACUCAGUGAAAUUGAACUCGCUGUGAAGAUGCAGUGUACCCGCGGCAAGACGGAAAGACCCCGUGAACCUUUACUAUAGCUUGACACUGAACACUGGUCCUUGAUGUGUAGGAUAGGUGGGAGGCUUUGAAGUGUGGACGCCAGUCUGCAUGGAGCCGUCCUUGAAAUACCACCCUUUAAUGGCUGGUGUUCUAACGUGGGCCCGUAAUCCGGGUUGCGGACAGUGUCUGGUGGGUAGUUUGACUGGGGCGGUCUCCUCCUAAAGAGUAACGGAGGAGCACGAAGGUUGGCUAAUCCUGGUCGGACAUCAGGAGGUUAGUGCAAUGGCAUAAGCCAGCUUGACUGCGAGCGUGACGGCGCGAGCAGGUGCGAAAGCAGGUCAUAGUGAUCCGGUGGUUCUGAAUGGAAGGGCCAUCGCUCAACGGAUAAAAGGUACUCCGGGGAUAACAGGCUGAUACCGCCCAAGAGUUCAUAUCGACGGCGGUGUUUGGCACCUCGAUGUCGGCUCAUCACAUCCUGGGGCUGAAGUAGGUCCCAAGGGUAUGGCUGUUCGCCAUUUAAAGUGGUACGCGAGCUGGGUUUAGAACGUCGUGAGACAGUUCGGUCCCUAUCUGCCGUGGGCGCUGGAGAACUGAGGGGGGCUGCUCCUAGUACGAGAGGACCGGAGUGGACGCAUCACUGGUGUUCGGGUUGUCAUGCCAAUGGCACUGCCCGGUAGCUAAAUGCGGAAGAGAUAAGUGCUGAAAGCAUCUAAGCACGAAACUUGCCCCGAGAUGAGUUCUCCCUGAGACUU
rnacentral:rRNA from 1 species